UACGGAGGGGGCAAGCGUUGUUCGGAAUUACUGGGCGUAAAGGGUCUGUAGGUGGCCAAUUAAGUCAGACGUGAAAUCCCUCAGCUUAACUGGGGAACUGCGUCUGAGACUGGAUGGCUCGAGUGCAGGAGAGGAAUGCGGAAUUCCAGGUGUAGCGGUGAAAUGCGUAGAUAUCUGGAGGAACACCGGUGGCGAAGGCGGCAUUCUGGACUGCAACUGACACUGAAAGACGAAAGCCAGGGGAGCAAACGGG
rnacentral:rRNA from 1 species